AUUCAUUCUCAACCCUCCCUGGUACUGUUGCUGUUAUAACUCCCAGGAUAAGAUGAAUGCAAGAGAAAAAUGUAGUUAUCCAAAAUGCAGAAUGCUCUCUCAUACUUCUGUAUUAUAAGGUUGUUUCUAAACUGUUCU